rnacentral:lncRNA from 1 species
GAGCAUCGCUGGAGAGAGGGAGCCAGCCACCGGGAAGCGCCAGGCCGGUGAACCGGAUUGCUCCGGCGGUGAGAGUGAAAACAUCAGUUCCUGGAACAGUAGAACUGAAGCCAUGGAGCAACAAAUUCCAGCUGUUUCUCAAGGAUCAAUCCACCAUGUUUUGAGGAUGUUGAGGAGCCUUGGUGCAGUGUUUGAAUGCUUCUGGGAACAGUUGGCAUCCUAGCCAGUCUGCAUGCUGCAGGGAUGUUUCUUGCCCAAAUGUGGCACCAAUAGUGGAGUAGACACACGUGGCUGGACAUCCCAAAUACAAGAUUACUUUAGCACCAUUUCAAAGUGAUUUGUACUGUAAGAAAAUUCUGGAUAUGCUGCCACUUCAUUAGCUCUGUGCUGUGUGCUAAAGAAGAUGAGGAGAAUGACCAGGGAAAAGAGUGCAGCGUGAAGUGCUACUGUGACACUUACGUGACAGGCUUUUCAUUCAAUCCUAACUAGUGUUGACAAAUGACUUAUGUUUCUGCAGAAUAGGAAAUUCAGUCAUCAUGUUGCUUAAAUCUAUAAAGAAGAAAUAUCCUGUGGCUUAGGAGUGGAGAGAAAGAACUAAUUUGGUGAUUCUUCCACUGGAUGCAGCUUUCGGCACACUCGACAGAUACCAGUGCAUCACCUAAUCCUUGGUGUUAUGAAGUGGGCUAGAAAUGUGAAAAACCCAUUAAGAUUGGCCUGUCAUCAAGGUAGGAGUUAAAAAUCCAUUAUUAAAAUGUAUAUAUAGUUGUCAUAGAUACUAUGGGAUGUCCACAGAAACACCCAUGCUAACGAGCACCUGCAACCCAACUGUGAGAAAUAGUAGGGUUACCUUGAAAAAGAAAAGGCUACCUUGCUUAUAUAGAAAAAAAUAAAGGGCAACUUUCACCUGUCAAGAAGAAAAUCAAUAAUGUGGAAGCUCAAAUUUCUGCUUAUAGAACUGCUGUUCCAAACACUUAUUUCAAUGUACAUGUAUUUGCUGCUCUAUUAGGUGUAGAGAGCAGUUGAUUUGUGCCAGUCCUGCUCAUGAGCAUGGAAAGAGGUUUCUUAGUUUUAUGAACCAGUGAUGGGCAGCUCUUUUGGGAGGAGGUUGCUUGGUUGGUUUUCCCUUCCCGUGUUGGGGCUCCAGGCUUUUGCUCGUGCUCUGGAUACAGACAGACCUGUAUUGAUGAUGCCUUAAACUUCACCUGGAAGUUUAGGUUGGCUGUGCACGUUACAGGUUCCUACAAUCUGUUUGUCAAACCCAUCCCGUCGUGUGCGUUCAAACAUCAAAUGAAACUGGUUUCAUCUUGAAACAAAAUACAAAAA